GACGAACGCUGGCGGCGUGCUUAACACAUGCAAGUCGAACGGAAAGGCCCUGCUUUUGUGGGGUACUCGAGUGGCGAACGGGUGAGUAACACGUGAGUAACCUGCCCUUGACUUUGGGAUAACUUCAGGAAACUGGGGCUAAUACCGGAUAGGAGCUCCUGCUGCAUGGUGGGGGCUGGAAAGUUUCGGCGGUUGGGGAUGGACUCGCGGCUUAUCAGCUUGUUGGUGGGGUAGUGGCUUACCAAGGCUUUGACGGGUAGCCGGCCUGAGAGGGUGACCGGCCACAUUGGGACUGAGAUACGGCCCAGACUCCUACGGGAGGCAGCAGUGGGGAAUAUUGCACAAUGGGCGGAAGCCUGAUGCAGCAACGCCGCGUGCGGGAUGACGGCCUUCGGGUUGUAAACCGCUUUCGCCUGUGACGAAGCGUGAGUGACGGUAAUGGGUAAAGAAGCACCGGCUAACUACGU
rnacentral:rRNA from 1 species